GACGAACGCUGGCGGCGCGCCUAAUACAUGCAAGUCGAACGGGCACCUUCGGGUGUUAGUGGCGGACGGGUGAGUAACACGUGGGCGACCUGCCUUCGAGUGGGGAAUAACGCUGGGAAACCAGCGCUAAUACCGCAUACGCUCGGCUCUUCACUGAGCCGAGGAAAGCUUUAUGUGCUCGAAGAGGGGCCUGCGGCGGAUUAGCUAGUCGGUGGGGUCACGGCCUACCGAGGCGACGAUCCGUAGCUGGUCUGAGAGGAUGAUCAGCCACACUGGGACUGAGACACGGCCCAGACUCCUACGGGAGGCAGCAGUAAGGGAUCUUCCACAAUGGGCGCAAGCCUGAUGGAGCGACGCCGCGUGGACGAAGAAGCCUUUCGGGGUGUAAAGUCCUUUUCGCAGGGAUGAGAUGGACAGUACCUGCGGAAUAAGCCUCGGCUAACUACGUGCCAGCCGCCGCCGUAAGAC
rnacentral:rRNA from 1 species